AACGAACGCUAGUGGUUAGCUUAACACAUGCAAGUCGAACGGAAAUUUUUUCCGUGGCGAACGGGUGCGUAAUAUUCAGGUAUCUGCCUGAAGGUGAGGUCCAAGGCCUACGGUGGAAGUUCUGCUUCCAUUAUGGUUGAAUCCCUCAUAGAGAAAGUUCCUCCGGGAAUGCCUUCAGAUGAGCCUGAAGAGGAUUAGGUAGUUGGUGAGGUAAGGGCUCACCAAGCCCAGGAUCCUUAGCGGGUUUGAGAGAAUGAUCCGCCACACUGGAACUGAGACACGGUCCAGACUCUUUUUGAGGCAGCAGUGAGGAAUAUUGGACAAUGGACGAAAGUCUGAUCCAGCUAAACCACAUGGGUGAUCCCAAAGGAAGGCUUCGGUGCCGUAAAGCCCUUUUCUAUGUGAAGAUAAUGACGGUAGCAUAGGAAUAAGUCCCGGCUAACAUUG
rnacentral:rRNA from 1 species